UUAAUCUAAUUCUAUUUCUUUUUCAGAAUUAAGUUCACAGUACAAUGACAAAAUUCUCCAGAAAGGUUCAUAUACACUUCUAGACAGCUUGGGCAUCUUUUACAGAUUACACGAAUUACUGGCUACACGGAAAGAAUUUUGGCACAAGAGCAGCGCCGCCUACUGUAAAACAGAUGUGCGUAGGUUUGACACAGUUGCUAUACCGAUUUUGGCGCAGCGGACGCCCCGAACUAGUUCUCCCAAAAAGAGCUCUGCUUGACGCAUGCGCUGUAGUGCACCGGACCAUCUUCGGGAGCACUUAAAAAAAAGGCCCGGCAAUUAUGCGAAACGAAUGAAUAACAACAAUACAACAAUACAACUACUGCCGAGGAAUUAUUUCCGUGCGUUUAGUUCUUAAUUUUUUAUUUAAAUAAUAAUAUUUAGACAUUAUUUUGUCUUGGUUUUCUUCUAAAUUACUUUUCUAUUCUUAAGUUAAAAAUGUUCUUUAAUUUGGGACGGAAUUAAAUAAACAAUUGAAUAAUAUUGUAAUUUCUUUUGAUUUUAUCGUUUUUGUUAUCCAAAAUUUUCUGAUCUUAAAAAUUCAAUUUUAAUAAAAAUCAAUGUUUCCUUUGAAUCAUGUAAAAACUACUUGUUUGGAUUAGUUGUAACUGUUCUUCGAGUAAAUGAUUGCAAGUAGUAAUCAUUUUAGUGUUGAUUAGUUUUAAUAUUUUUAUUUGACUACGCCUCAAAAAUAAUAUUUUAUAACGAGAAAAAUGUACUUGUGGAUUAAAGAUAUAAAUGGAUGUAAUAUGACACAGAGCUUUAUCUUUCGAUUUUACCUCUACACCAUGGGUUAUUCUUUUCACAUUUAAAUUCUAAUAAAAAGGCGCAAACAUAAACCAUUACGACGCUAAUUUUAAUAGCUAAAUGAAUAUUUUAAAAAAU